rnacentral:lncRNA from 1 species
UCAAAUCUAGUGUAAACUUGCAAUGAAAGAGAUAUAUACAUGUCAUCGUAAUAUUGACCAGUUUUUAUAUCUAGCAUGUAACAUGCAAGAAAAAUGGAGGUGCUGGAAAAAUUGGAGGUUGUGCGGGAGAAAAUUAUCAAUAGCUAGUUCUCUGCCUCAUCCAUUUCGUAGCUGACCACUUCUCUCCUUUCAAAACUGCACAUCCUCCAUGAAUACUGUUUGGGUCAGACUCCCCAUUUAGACCCUGAAAAGAGCAAUUACCAACGUUGUAUAAUGGUACCAAAGAACUAUAAACCCAAUCCAUUCUUUUGAAGCCCACUAAAUCAUAAUGAAAGAAAUUCAUUCACUCAGCAAGAAGCUAAAAGUUCAUUGAAGCACAUGGACAGCAUUAGCAUAGGAUGGAAGACAAACCAUGCUCCAAAAGAGAACUGCAUCUCCUUUAAUAGGCUUAACACACAGCCCCUUCAUCAUCUUUCCUCCACAACUGCAUUCACCAUUUCCAGCCUGAAUAUAGAGGACAAUGAAUAUAUUUAUUAGCAGAUUGGAUAGAAGAGGAAAUUAAGAUAGGCCAUAGCUCAGGCUGCCAGUGUUGAUAGAAAAAGCUUAAGUAUCAGAUGUUUACCAUAAAUUCAUCAUAAAAAGCAUUGCCAGAAUUUUUUUAUUUUCUUUUAUCAUAAUCAGGAUGAAACUUUAGAUAAGAAUUAGCAUUUAAACAUUUUUUAAGCCAAAACUGAGACCAGCAAUAUAGCCAAGAAGCAAACAUAUUUCAUUUUGGAAAGCAGCAUGUGUAAAAUAUUGAACAUUAGUGAACUAUCGUUCCAUAACUUCUAUUUAAAUGUAAGACAUUAAAAUAAAAGUUUACAUUUAGCAUCCUUGGGUGUUUGUUUCAAAGUAAGUCAGGAGGGCUCGAGUUAACAUGGGUCUAACUGGAUUAGUUGGGUUUGCCACAAGAUUUGCCGUCUCAGUAUCAAAUACCGUAUUGGUACCAUCCUAUUAAAAUAUUGGUACGUUUGAAAUUGUCCUUAGUUCAGCAUACCAAUUGUCGAUAUGCCCCUAUACUAUGUGCUGGUUCGGUACUGGUAUAGUAUGGUACAAUGGUAUAAUUAGUAUGCACUGGAACUGGCCGGUAUAGCAAACCUGGUUUACCAUAUUUAGAUCUAUUUUGGCCAAGUUAGGUUUACUCAGGGAGGGUAUUAAACUGGACUGAUCUAGCCUGUGCUGGGUAGAUUGAAUUGGACCAAGUCGAAUCAUGUUUGGACCAAGUCGAAUCAUGUUGGGGUAGGUCAGGUCAAGGUGGGGUUCCCUUAAAUAUAGUUACUAAUCCAUGAAAGCACAACUUUAGCUCUCAAGAGGCCAAAAUCAAAAUGUGAUUUUGGGUUUUACAAGGAACUUGAUGUUCAUCUUCUGAUACAGUAGUAGCACAACAGAUAUCUUGGAGUAAUCACUUGUGGGUUGACCUAAAGUUUGGCUCUUCUUCUUAUGCCUUUUGAAUCAAAAUCUAGGAUAAUUUUAGGUUUUCAGUGCAGGACUCGGCCUUAUGCCUUAUAUGGGAACGAGCUUAGGUAUAAGUCAUCAAGAUGUGAUCAAGAAAUUAUUGUUCAAGAUACACAGAUACAUGCAAUAUAUAAAUGCAUAGAUUCCAUUAGCCAGAGCUCUCUCUAAUAGCCAAACAAUUCAAAUGAAACAGCCAAUCUCUAAGCAACCAAUCAUCAUGAUCCCUGCUAUGAUACAUCUAAAUUAUGGAUUUAAAACAACACCCUACAAAAUCCUCAAUAGCCAUGUCUCAAAUAAGACUAAUAAGACUCCACCAAUGUCAAAAAUUCUGACGCCACUUGAUAAUAUCAAAUUGGAGAUGUAAACUUGCAAUGAAAGAGAUAUAUACAUGUCAUCGUAAUAUUGACCAGUUUUUAUAUCUAGCAUGUAACAUGCAAGAAAAAUGGAGGUGCUGGAAAAAUUGGAGGUUGUGCGGGAGAAAAUUAUCAAUAGCUAGUUCUCUGCCUCAUCCAUUUCGUGGCUGACCACUUCUCUCCUUUCAAAACUGCACAUCCUCCAUGAAUACUGUUUGGGUCAGACUCCCCAUUUAGACCCAUGCUCCAAAAGAGAACUGCAUCUCCUUUAAUAGGCUUAACACACAGCCCCUUCAUCAUCUUUCCUCCACAACUGCAUUCACCAUUUCCAG